ACAGCCGGUAAAACAAUUCCUUGUUGAAAGUAUUGUCUCUAAACAUCCCCCAACACCGCUACCAUGACCCAGUCGCCUUCCGAGCUAUGGCGCGUAAAAACCGAUUUUGGACUCUUGGAAUUCUAUUUGUCAUAUUACCACUCCGAAUUUAUUGUUAUGAAAAAACGUUACGAAAAAUUGUGAGAAAUCAAUCAAAAAUGGUCCAACGACCGUUCAGUGAUGAUAAUCCCGGAGGUAGCAUAGUUUGGAGAAAUACAUCACAAUUUCAACCCAAACACAAUGAAGCUUUAAUGCCCCCUGGAUACGCUCAAGUGAAAACUCUCUUCCAUAAAAUGCAGCGCCCCAAAAUGUCAACCAUUUUGUCAUCAGUGGAGACUGGCAGAGGAAAAUCAACGUAUUCCAAAAUGAAAAUAGCGAGGAACGAAAACCCCCUAGAACUGAGACUAGCAAGAAACACAUUUAACAAUAUAACAAUGGCCUUACUACAGUCAUCUACUGAAGAGAGCAUACUUUUUCAACCGCCUGGAGUAAAAAAUAAUAGUUUUCCAGGAGAAGUCACUGUGGAAUCAUAUUAUCAAAUACCCUCGCCUUCUAAAUUUUUUCCAUCUGUAGACGAUCGUGACCUACAAAGUGUUGAACAAAAAAUCAACACCAAAGACAACACUAUUGUAAUCCCAGCCCGUCCAGUUGAAAAAGAUAACAGUAGUGUUCUGGUUAAAGGUAUAUUUAUAGCAGAUGCUAAUGAGAAAUCACCGAACGCGGUAAGCGAUUUGCGGAGUAGUGGUACUAGUGGUAAUAUGAUAAGUACAGAAAAUGAUGAAAAAGCUGAUUUUUUGCUGGAAGAACUCUCGGGAGAUGGUUCUUUCGGUUCCAGAUACAGCUACAACGUUACGACCAAUCCAUAUACUUGUGUGAUUGUGCAGGGAAACAAAGCUGACAUCGAUGCCCAAGCUCAGUUUUCAAGUUUUGACAUAGAGCCUUCGUGGGUAGUCAAGAGACAGUAUUGGGAUUACAUUUUUGACAGCCGCUAUGAAGCAUUGAUGAGAAGUCCAAAAUGGCCAGCUUUAAAUGUGAUCUUGUUACCGAUUUCUCAUGUGGAUUCCAUUUGGAAACGGUCCUUUGAACAUUAUCACAACAACACUGUCAGUAAGAUUAUUUCGAAUAUAGUGAAGAAACUUCAAUUUUACAACAAACUUACUUUUACUUGGAAUGAAGUGUCGCACUUAAGUCAAUGGUGGAAAAGGACCUCACAAAAGAGUCGUUCGGUUUUACGGAAAUUAGUUAAAAGUGGAAGAUUAGAAAUAACCACAGGAGGCUGGGUUCAAUCGGAUGAAGCGACCACUCAUUUAUUCGGACUAGUCCAUCAACUCAUUGAAGGUCAUCAGUGGCUAAAAAACCAUUUAAAUUACACACCUAAAGUUGGUUGGCUUACGGACAGCGUGACUCAUAGUCCCACGAUGCCGUACCUUCUCUCUGCGGCCGGGAUUUCAAAAUUCAUCAUCACUAACGUCCAUUACUCAUGGGAACAGUUUCUUGCUGAAUUUCAGAUCAGCGAUUUCAUUUGGAUACAGUAUUGGGAUAACGACAAGAAUACCGCAAAUCCCCUGAAUCAAGAAUUAAAUAAGAUCGGCAACGAACGCUAUCCUAAAAACUCGGUGUUAACUCACUAUUUGCAGUUCAAUUACGAUAACUUCAAAGCUUGCGGACCUAAUAAAAACGUGUGCUCGGGAGAAUUUGACUUCAAUAAAUUGAACAAAAACACAGAUAUACAUACUUAUAAUGUUAAGCAAAAAUCCGAAAAGUUACUCGAACAAUAUUCUAAAACGGGAACUAUCUCACCUCAUAAUGUGGUCGUCGCACCUCUAGGCGGGCCAUAUCGGUAUGAGUUUCAAACAGAAUUUGACUAUCAGUACAAUAACUAUCAAAAAUUGGCUGAUUUCAUAAAUCUUAACACCGAUAUUUACAAAGCGAACAUUGACUUCGGCACACCGAGUGAUUACUUUAAUACGAUUCUAAGUAAACAUAAGGCUUAUCCUACCUUUCAAGGGGAUUUUUUGAAUUUUGCUGAUAUAAAAUCGGGAAGUCCAGCUUAUUGGACUGGAUUCUUCACUUCCAGACCUCUACUUAAAAUAUUAAUUCGACGACUUCAGUCCACGUUACGUUCCACAGAAAUAUUACUUACAUUCGCGAUCAAUUACAACGUUUUUACACGACAUAAUUCGACUAGUCUCUUAGAACUCCUGACCAAAGCAAGGGAAACUGUGGCGAGACUUCAGGACAGGCAUGUAGUAGGAGGUACUAUAGCAGUUAACAUCCUUCAGUAUACCUACAAAAUAAUUCUAUCUUCAGUCAAGGAUUGUUGGCAUAUCCAAGAAGUCGCUGCGAGUCUAUUGACUAUGAAACCAGACAAAAGUUCACCAUAUCUACAUAAAUUAGUCUACCGAGAAGGAGAAUUCAUCUCUGUUUUUAGAACAGUUGAUGUUGGUGAUCAGAUAUACGUAUUCAAUUCCUUAAGUCAAGAAAGAACUGAAAUCGUAGAGUUAAUAACAAAACAUCCAAACAUUAGGGUGGUUGACCAUAACAAAAAAGAUCUUACUAUCCAGAUCAAUCCGGUCUGGACUUACAGUUCCGAUAAUUAUAUCAGGAUUUCAAAUGUUUUCUACAAAGUUAUGUUCGCCAUAGUUGUGCCACCUAUGACUUUAGAGCUAUACAAGAUCAAAGAAACUUACGAUGCCACAAACAAUGCAGCCACGAUAUAUUGUGUGCAUUGCACAAUAGACAAUUUUGAAAGUCAAACUUCCGUAUUUCCUUUUAAUAUUCUACCACUUCAGCCCGGUGAUAUACAGCUGGAGAGUUAUAAACACAGAAUCGUAAUAGACGAGCUCACUGGAUUUCUAAAAACUGUUAUAGAAAAGGAAACCAAUACAGAGAAGACAGUUUUAAUUGACUAUGGAGCAUUCAAAAGUGCUGAUGUCAACGCUGGCAUAUUUCUGUUCAAUACGAACGUUACAAGACCUCUUCAUGACAUAUUGUUGCCUUUCAGAGAUGGCACUAAAACCAAAGUAUCAAUAAUAAUUGCUGGACAAGUUACUACUGAAAUGUCUUCAGUCUAUGGGCGUUUACUGCAGCAUACUGUUAAAUUAUACAAUCUUGUAAACGUUCCUUUAGCCAAGUCUAUCUUCAUCGAAAGCAAAUUAGAUUACGAAAUAUCGCCGAAAAAUAGAGAACUCGAAAUUUUUCUAUCCAUCAAAACUGAAAUAGCCAAUGGUAACCAUCCUGAAAUAUACACGGAUAAUAACGGAUUCCAGCAUACUGCGCGAAUUUUGAAUAUAAGUAGACGAAUAGAGUCAAAUAUUUACCCUAUAACAAGUAUGGCUUUCAUACAAGACGCCAAAAGCAGGCUCACCUUAAUUACUGAUCAUGCUCAAGGGGUGACAUCAUUACAAGAAGGCCAUUUGGUUGUGAUGUUAGACCGAAGGGUGCUUUUCAACGACGGCAGGGGUACACAGGAAGGUCUAGCAGACAGCACUACGACAUACCAUCGACAUUUCAUUUUGCUCGAAAACUUUGUAGACUCAUCUAACCAAUAUAGUCAAUACAUAUCGCGCUCGGAGCUGAAGUUGCCUAGCUUUUCAGCUUUGUACCUUGCCAACUCUGUAGACAAUAUUUUAGACCUAUUCGUAGUCGAUAAGAAGCUCGCGGACUUGUCUCAUUAUGCGUUCCUUCCUUUGAUCAAGACUUCAUUUCCAUGCGAUGUGGCAGUUAUUAAUUUUCGUACUAUAGUAAACAGGCAUUCUCUGCAUCUUUUCACACCAAAUAUGGCGUUACUAGUGCUACAAAGGCAAAGUGUUUCUUGUAGAAUCGACAAUGCUGCUCAACUAAAUUGUAAUGGAGACAGUAGUUUUUCGCUAGAGAAAAUUCUGCGUAACGUAAUUGCAGUGUAUCAUACUAAUUUGGUUGGAACUAAUGAAGGGGUCCCUAUAGGCUACAUAAAUCAGGAGAAUUUCCCACCCAUGGAAUUGAUGACUUUGAAAAUAUUUUUCUAAAUACUCUUGCUUGACUUAUCAAGACUUUCUCCAACUAUUUAAGCCGUGAAGAUAAGAAUUUCAAACUGUCAAUAAUUGACUAAUCAAUGGCCUGGAAAGCUAAUGGCUUUAUUGUGUUGAGUGCAUUAGGCGUUAAUUCGGCGCUAGGCGAACAUUUCUACACAUUUGUGAGCGUAUUAAUUGCUAAGAUUCGCUAACAGUAAAGUGGCCAUAAGAUCAGAUUUUUAUUAUGUUCAAUGCCAGAUCAUGAGGUUCGAUACUUCACCACGAUGCGGCCUGGUUAGGUCUUCAUUAACCAUGCUUGGUAAUGCAAUGUAAAAAAAAGAUAAUCUAGGUGUCUUAUUGUACGAAAGUAGUCUUCUGCAGGUAGUUCUAGACAACAAGAGGGGAAUUUUAUUUGGUAGGUACUCCGAGAUCAGGCUUGAAUAGAACUCCCUGUAGAGCUCGUCAUCGUUUACCGUCUUUUUUUAGGAAGUUUUUACUUUAUUGUACCUGAAUCCUGAAACUCAAAGUUAUUUCCUAGAAACUGCAAGGCGCAGUUAUGCCCAGUUUUUCAUGACCUCGCUGGUAAAUAAGAAGUUAUGUGAUGAGAUGAAGUAAACUGUAGUUUCGGGAUUCAGACCUCAGAGUAGGUACUUAAGUAGGUUGUAUAGUUUUAACCGACUAUUCCAAUAAUUAUGUUCGAAGUUAUACUUGCAUGAUCAAAACUGCAAAUUGUUAUUUAUAUUCUUACAAUUGUAAUAAAACCGUUAAUACAUGUUUAAAUAAU